rnacentral:sRNA from 2 species
CGAAUCCUGCACGACCCACCAAUAUACAAGGUGGUAACUGGUAGAGAACGUGAAGGAUAACGUUGCUUUAGCAACGGCCCGAAGGGCGAGGCGAAGCCGAGUCAUCCUGCACGACCCACCA